rnacentral:rRNA from 1 species
GAUGAACGCUGGCGGCGUGCCUAAUACAUGCAAGUCGAGCGAACGGACGAGGAGCUUGCUCCUUUGAUGUUAGCGGCGGACGGGUGAGUAACACGUGGGUAACCUACCUAUAAGACUGGGAUAACUUCGGGAAACCGUAGCUAAUACCGGAUAAUAUUUUGAACCGCAUGGUUCGAUAGUGAAAGACGGCUUUGCUAUCACUUAUAGAUGGAUCCGCGCUGCAUUAGCUAGUUGGUAAGGUAACGGCUUACCAAGGCAACGAUGCAUAGCCGACCUGAGAGGGUGAUCGGCCACACUGGAACUGAGACACGGUCCAGACUCCUACGGGAGGCAGCAGUAGGGAAUCUUCCGCAAUGGGCGAAAGCCUGACGGAGCAACGCCGCGUGAGUGAUGAAGGUCUUCGGAUCGUAAAACUCUGUUAUUAGGGAAGAACAAACGUGUAAGUAACUGUGCACAUCUUGACGGUACCUAAUCAGAAAGCCACGGCUAACUACGUG